rnacentral:rRNA from 1 species
UACGAAGGGGGCGAGCGUUGUUCGGAAUUACUGGGCGUAAAGGGCGCGCAGGCGGCCCUUGAAGUCAGGCGUGAAAGCCCCGGGCUUAACCUGGGAAUGGCGGUUGAAACUAGUCGACUAGAAUCUGGCAGAGGGGGGUGGAAUUCCACGUGUAGCAGUGAAAUGCGUAGAGAUGUGGAGGAACACCGAUGGCGAAGGCAGCCCCCUGGGCUGAGAUUGACGCUCAGGCACGAAAGCGUGGGGAGCAAACAGG